rnacentral:rRNA from 1 species
CCCGUCGGACCAGACGAACAACGAGGUCGAGAUUGGUAUGUAUUUGACCAGGAGACGUGAGCUCGUAGCGACUGGCGAGGUAACCCUGCCCCCUACGAGUCAAGAUGUGCUGCCUUACUUACCACUACCCUAAUUCCCUGGAUCGGGAACUAACUAAAGAUGCGGGCUGACAACGUGACGUUGUUAUUGCUUAACGGGACUUCCGGCUGCACUGCUUAGAACCUUACCGGAGUUUAGUGCUUGCAGUGAGCAUGUUGCGCACAUUCUUGAAGUCACGUUACUCGGGUACAUGCCAACCUCGCCUGUGUUAUUAUGUCACAGGAGCUGCCCGGUUACGAGGAGGAGGGUGGGGAUGCGUCAAAUCAGCAUUCCCUUACGCUCUGGGCUACACACGCGCUACAAUGGCCAGGACAACGGGAAGCCAAAUCGUAAGAUGGAGCUAAUCCUUAUAAACCUGGUCCCAGUUCGGAUAGAGGGCUGCAACUCGCCCUCUUGAAGCCGGAAUCGCUAGUAAUCACGGAUCAGCCUCGCCGUGGUGAAUACGUUCUCGAGUCUUGUACUCACUGCCCGUCAAGUGAAGGAAGUCGGCAAUACCCGCAG